rnacentral:tRNA from 1 species
GACAUUGUGGCGGAGUUGGUUAACGCGACAGAUUUGAAAUCUGUUUCCCUACGGGAGCGCAGGUUCGAAUCCUGUCAAUGUCG